GCAUGUGUUCCAUUAGACUAUCAUAAUGCAAAACCAAACCCCGCCAUUUUCCGCAUCUCAGACAGAAUUCUAUGCAUCCCUCCUCCAAACAAGCCUGAAAACCAACGACCCAUUUACCAUCAAACCAAUCCAUUGCCGCGUAAUAAAGUACGGACUUCACUUAGGCGUGUACUUGAUGAAUAAUCUGAUGAAUGCAUACGCAAAAAAGGGGUUUAUCCGCGAUGCUCGCCGAAUAUUUGAUGAAAUGCCUCUGAAAAUUACAUCUUCAUAUAACACACUUUUAUCUGCAUAUGCUAAACAGGGUAUGAUAUGCGAAGCUCGUUGUAUAUUUCGUGAAAUGCCCAAUCCUGAUUCUGUUUCUUGGACAGCGAUGAUUGUGGGAUAUAAUCAAUUAGGUCAUUUUGCGACUGCUGUUUGGAUGUUUUUGGAGAUGAUGAAACAGAAAAUUCUGCCUACCCAAUACACGGUUACUAAUAUUCUCGCGUCUUGUGCUGCCUAUGAAGCUUUGGUUAUAGGCAGGAACGUUCACUCGUUUGUUAUUAAACUUGGCCUCACUGGCUGUGUAUCUGUAGCUAAUUCUUUGGUAAAUAUGUAUGCAAAGUCAGGUGACGUUGAGACAGCAGUUGUUGUUGUUGAUAGAAUUAAAUUAAAGAACGUUUCAACUUGGAAUGCCACAAUAUCAUUGCAUAUGCAAAUGGGUCAAGUAGACCUUGCACUGGCUCAGUUUGAGGAAAUGACCGAACGUGAUAUUAUUUCGUGGAAUUCAAUGAUUGCAGGUUAUAAUCAGCAUGGUUCUGAUGUUGAAGCUCUGGAUAUGUUCUCAAAGAUGCUCAGGGAAUCUCGAUUAAAGCCUGAUAGAUACACUCUGGCUAGUGUGCUGUCUGCUUGUGCAAAUCUUGAGGAGUUAAAAUCAGGGAAGCAAAUACAUGCUCACAUCAUUAGAAGCGAAUUUGAUACUGUGGGGCCAGUAGGGAAUGCAUUGAUCUCCAUGUACUCGAAAGGUGGCUGUAUCAAAAUAGCAGAAAAGAUUUUAGAGCAGUUUGGAACAUCCAUUUUAAACGUUAUAGCAUUUACAGCCUUAUUAGAUAGCUACGUCAAGCUUGGUGAUUUAGAUCCUGCCAGACAGAUUUUUGAUUCAUUAAAGGAUCCUGAUGUAGUUGCAUGGACAGCUAUGGUUGUUGGCUAUGUGCAGAAUGGCCUCAAUGAUGAAGCAAUGACACUCUUCAGAUCAAUGAUCAAAGAAGGUCCAAGGCCUAAUAGCUAUACUCUGGCAGCUAUGUUGAGUGUCAGUUCAAACUUGGCUUCUUUGAAUCAUGGUAAACAAAUUCAUGCAAUUUCUGUAAAGUUGAGGGAAGCAUCAGCUGUUUCUGUGAGCAAUGCAUUGAUUAAUAUGUAUGCUAAGGCUGGUAAUAUCAAUUGUGCACGGAGGGUAUUCAAUGUAAUACAAAUGAAUAGAGAUGCAGUCUCUUGGACAUCCAUGAUUCUGGCUUUAGCUCAACAUGGGCACGGAGAGGAGGCCUUACAACUCUUUGAGAACAUGCUGGAGAUUGGUAUUAAGCCAGACCAUAUAACUUAUGUUGGUGUUCUUUCUGCCUGCACACAUGUGGGAUUGGUGGCUAAAGGUCGAAGUUACUAUAAAAUGAUGAAAAAUACCCAUGGGAUCGAACCCACCUCUAGCCACUGUGCUUGCAUGAUUGACAUGUUUGGUCGUGCGGGAUUGCUAUGGGAAGCGCAAGAUUUUAUAGAGAACAUGCCAAUUGAACCAGAUGUCAUAGCUUGGGGUUCACUUUUAGCUUCUUGUAAAGUUCACAAAAAUGUGGAGCUAGCGAAAAUUGCUGCUGAAAGAUUGCUUUCAAUUGAACCUGAUAAUAGUGGGGCCUAUUCAGCACUUGCUAAUGUCUAUUCAGCUUGCGGAAAAUGGACUGAAGCCGCUCGGGUUAGAAAGUUGAUGAAGGAUAGGCAGGUGAAGAAAGAACAAGGAAUCAGUUGGGUGCAAAUCAAGACUGAAGUCAAUGUCUUUGGUGCUGAAGAUUUGCUUCACCCACAAAGAGAUGCAGUUUAUCAGAUGAUUGCAAAAAUCUGGGAGGAGAUUAAAAGAAUGGGUUUUGUUCCUGAUAUUGCUUCAGUAUUGCAUGAUCUUGAUCAAGAAUUGAAAGAGCAAAUUCUUAAACGACACAGUGAAAAGCUCGCCAUUGCAUUCGCAUUAAUGAAUACCCCAGAUGGAACUACUUUAAGGAUCAUGAAAAACCUCAGAGUUUGUAAUGACUGUCAUUCAGCAAUCAAAUUCAUUGCGAAACUUGUUGAUAGAGAAAUUAUUGUUAGAGAUGCUACACGUUUCCAUCACUUUAAAGGGGGUUCAUGUUCAUGUCAUGAUUAUUGGUAAGUUUGGAAUAAUGUUAUAAAGUAUCCUUGUAUGGAUAGCAGAAUGAUUUGACAGUGGCUGAACGAGAAUUGACAGACUUAAAUGACGUUUGAAGCAUAAAUUUUUGGGAUAGGCAGCAAUAGUUGCUGCAGAUUCCGGUUCAUGCACCAAUUUGGAUGAUAUUCUGAAGGUUUGCACCAGCUGAGGUGGAAGAAUCUGGAAUGGUCAAUGAAGUCGUGGCCUUUCAAGAAUUUUCUUGUUCAAGGUGAAUACUUUUUGAUUCUGAGAUGGUGUAUCUUCACCUGGGCUCAAAGAAGUGGAUGCUUCAAACAUGAGAUGAACUGUAAACGUGUUUCUGCUCAUUUUGAUGUUUCUUGCAGUAAUUGGGUCAUAUUUUUAUAGAAACUUGAAGCAGCUGAAGUAGAAUCUAUGGUAAAUAAUGUUGCUAUUCGUCUUGCCCAAGGAAUUGCUGAAGCACUACAACUUAAAAUCCCAGCAAAUAAUGCAGGGCAUACAGGGACAUUUAUAGCUACCUUUAGGAAAAAUUGUGGUAUGCUAGGAGUAGUUGUCUUUACAUUACACUACCAAUCUUUAUAUAAAAAGUAGUUAAUGUCAAUGUCUUUCCCGAGUAAAUAUAUAGGUGGAAAGAUGGAUGACAAAUGUUCGCCAAAUUUAUCGUUGAAAAUCACUAAUAUUCUGCAUGUUUUAUCAGCAAAAUCAAUCUUCUUGUUUAUUAAGGGCGUAACAUAAAUGGUUUAAAUUAUAAAUAGAUAGAUAUGAGUGGUGGACAAGUGAAUAACACUUGUGGGAUCCUUGAAAUGUGUGAAUUAAAAGUAAUUUGACAGUUUAUAAACAUUAGCCAAACAUUGAACUUCAGACAUUACCUGUUAUUGCUAUCAGUUUCACUAAUGUUUCAUGUCAUUCUAUGCAGGGACAGGAUAAGAUCAUCUUUAUCCUCUUUUUUACCAUUUGUCCAGAGGUCUUAAUGACUCACAUAUGGCCCUCAUGACAUUUGGAUUUUGCAUUUAGAGCUAUUAGCAGCAAACGGGACAUGCUGCAAGAAUGAUGCUAGUGCAGGGAAAUAAACCUAAACGAAGCAAGGCAAUUGAAUAACAUUAUGCCCUUGAUUUUGGGGAGCUGCAGACAAUCACUGGUCUCUAUAUGUACAUGGCA
rnacentral:lncRNA from 1 species